UUAUUCGAGACAAAAAUUUCCUUUUAUAUUUUUUAUGAUUUCAAAUCCAAA
rnacentral:tRNA from 1 species